GACGAACGCUGGCGGCGUGCUUAACACAUGCAAGUCGAACGGAAAGGCCCUGCUUUUGUGGGGUGCUCGAGUGGCGAACGGGUGAGUAACACGUGAGUAACCUGCCCUUGACUUUGGGAUAACUUCUGGAAACUGGGGCUAAUACCCGAUAUGAGCUUCUGCUGCACGGUGGGGGUUGGAAAGUUUCGGCGGUUGGGGAUGGACUCGCGGCUUAUCAGCUUGUUGGUGGGGUAGUGGCUUACCAAGGUUUUGACGGGUAGCCGGCCUGAGAGGGUGACCGGCCACAUUGGGACUGAGGUAGGGCCCAGUCUCCUACGGGCUGCAGCGGGGGGGAGUCUUGCACAGUAGGCGGAAGCCUGAUGUAGCAAUGCCGCGUGCGGGAUGACUGCCGUCGAGUGGUAAACCUGUUUCGCCUGUAACGAGGCGUGAGUGACGGUAAUGGGUAAAAAAGCACCGGCUAACUACGUG
rnacentral:rRNA from 1 species